UACGUAGGGUGCGAGCGUUGUCCGGAAUUAUUGGGCGUAAAGAGCUCGUAGGCGGUUUUGUUGCGUCUAUCGUGAAAACCUGCAGCUUAACUGUGGGCUUGCGGUGGAUACGGGCAGACUUGAGUUCGGUAGGGGAGACUGGAAUUCCUGGUGUAGCGGUGAAAUGCGCAGAUAUCAGGAGGAACACCGGUGGCGGAAGGCGGGUCUCUGGGCCGAUACUGACGCUGAGGAGCGAAAGCGUGGGGAGCGAACAGG
rnacentral:rRNA from 1 species